GGUUAAGCGACUAAGCGUACACGGUGGAUGCCCUGGCAGUCAGAGGCGAUGAAGGACGUGCUAAUCUGCGAAAAGCGUCGGUAAGGUGAUAUGAACCGUUACAGCCGGCGAUGUCCGAAUGGGGAAACCCAGUGCAAUUCGUUGCACUAUCGUUAACUGAAUACAUAGGUUAACGAGGCGAACCGGGGGAACUGAAACAUCUAAGUACCCCGAGGAAAAGAAAUCAACCGAGAUUCCCCCAGUAGCGGCGAGCGAACGGGGAGCAGCCCGGAGUCUGAAUCAGCUUGUGUGUUAGUGGAAGCGUCUGGAAAGUCGCAGGGUACAGGGUGAUACUCCCGUACACUAAAACACACAGGCUGUGAACUCGAAGAGUAGGGCGGGACACGUGGUAUCCUGUCUGAAUAUGGGGGGACCAUCCUCCAAGGCUAAAUACUCCUGACUGACCGAUAGUGAACCAGUACCGUGAGGGAAAGGCGAAAAGAACCCCGGCGAGGGGAGUGAAAAAGAACCUGAAACCGUGUACGUACAAGCAGUAGGAGCCCACUAGUUGGGUGACUGCGUACCUUUUGUAUAAUGGGUCAGCGACUUAUAUUCUGUAGCAAGGUUAACCGUAUAGGGGAGCCGCAGGGAAACCGAGUCUUAACUGGGCGUUAAGUUGCAGGGUAUAGACCCGAAACCCGGUGAUCUAGCCAUGGGCAGGUUGAAGGUUGGGUAACACUAACUGGAGGACCGAACCGACUAAUGUUGAAAAAUUAGCGGAUGACUUGUGGCUGGGGGUGAAAGGCCAAUCAAACCGGGAGAUAGCUGGUUCUCCCCGAAAGCUAUUUAGGUAGCGCCUCGUGAACUCAUCUUCGGGGGUAGAGCACUGUUUCGGCUAGGGGGUCAUCCCGACUUACCAACCCGAUGCAAACUACGAAUACCGAAGAAUGUUAUCACGGGAGACACACGGCGGGUGCUAACGUCCGUCGUGAAGAGGGAAACAACCCAGACCGCCAGCUAAGGUCCCAAAGUCAUGGUUAAGUGGGAAACGAUGUGGGAAGGCCCAGACAGCCAGGAUGUUGGCUUAGAAGCAGCCAUCAUUUAAAGAAAGCGUAAUAGCUCACUGGUCGAGUCGGCCUGCGCGGAAGAUGUAACGGGGCUAAACCAUGCACCGAAGCUGCGGCAGCGACACUAUGUGUUGUUGGGUAGGGGAGCGUUCUGUAAGCCGUUGAAGGUGGCCUGUGAGGGUUGCUGGAGGUAUCAGAAGUGCGAAUGCUGACAUAAGUAACGAUAAUGCGGGUGAAAAACCCGCACGCCGGAAGACCAAGGGUUCCUGUCCAACGUUAAUCGGGGCAGGGUGAGUCGACCCCUAAGGCGAGGCCGAAAGGCGUAGUCGAUGGGAAACAGGUUAAUAUUCCUGUACUUGGUGUUACUGCGAAGGGGGGACGGAGAAGGCUAUGUUGGCCGGGCGACGGUUGUCCCGGUUUAAGCAUGUAGGCGGAUGUUCCAGGUAAAUCCGGAACGUUAUUAACGCUGAGGUGUGAUGACGAGGCACUACGGUGCUGAAGUGACAAAUGCCCUGCUUCCAGGAAAAGCCUCUAAGCAUCAGGUAACAUCAAAUCGUACCCCAAACCGACACAGGUGGUCAGGUAGAGAAUACCAAGGCGCUUGAGAGAACUCGGGUGAAGGAACUAGGCAAAAUGGUGCCGUAACUUCGGGAGAAGGCACGCUGAUGGUAAGUGAAGUGACUUGCUCAUGGAGCUGAAAUCAGUCGAAGAUACCAGCUGGCUGCAACUGUUUAUUAAAAACACAGCACUGUGCAAACACGAAAGUGGACGUAUACGGUGUGACGCCUGCCCGGUGCCGGAAGGUUAAUUGAUGGGGUUAUCCUCACGGAGAAGCUCUUGAUCGAAGCCCCGGUAAACGGCGGCCGUAACUAUAACGGUCCUAAGGUAGCGAAAUUCCUUGUCGGGUAAGUUCCGACCUGCACGAAUGGCGUAAUGAUGGCCAGGCUGUCUCCACCCGAGACUCAGUGAAAUUGAACUCGCUGUGAAGAUGCAGUGUACCCGCGGCAAGACGGAAAGACCCCGUGAACCUUUACUAUAGCUUGACACUGAACACUGGUCCUUGAUGUGUAGGAUAGGUGGGAGGCUUUGAAGUGUGGACGCCAGUCUGCAUGGAGCCGUCCUUGAAAUACCACCCUUUAAUGGCUGGUGUUCUAACGUUGGCCCGUAAUCCGGGUUGCGGACAGUGUCUGGUGGGUAGUUUGACUGGGGCGGUCUCCUCCUAAAGAGUAACGGAGGAGCACGAAGGUCAGCUAAUCCUGGUCGGACAUCAGGAGGUUAGUGCAAUGGCAUAAGCUGGCUUGACUGCGAGCGUGACGGCGCGAGCAGGUGCGAAAGCAGGUCAUAGUGAUCCGGUGGUUCUGAAUGGAAGGGCCAUCGCUCAACGGAUAAAAGGUACUCCGGGGAUAACAGGCUGAUACCGCCCAAGAGUUCAUAUCGACGGCGGUGUUUGGCACCUCGAUGUCGGCUCAUCACAUCCUGGGGCUGAAGUAGGUCCCAAGGGUAUGGCUGUUCGCCAUUUAAAGUGGUACGCGAGCUGGGUUUAGAACGUCGUGAGACAGUUCGGUCCCUAUCUGCCGUGGGCGCUGGAGAAUUGAGGGGGGCUGCUCCUAGUACGAGAGGACCGGAGUGGACGCAUCACUGGUGUUCGGGUUGUCAUGCCAAUGGCAUUGCCCGGUAGCUAAAUGCGGAAGAGAUAAGUGCUGAAAGCAUCUAAGCACGAAACUUGCCCCGAGAUGAGUUCUCCCUGACUCCUUGAGAGUCCUGAAGGAACGUUGAAGACGACGACGUUGAUAGGCCGGGUGUGUAAGCGCAGCGAUGCGUUGAGCUAACCGGUACUAAUGAACCGUGAGGCUUAACCUU
rnacentral:rRNA from 1 species